CGUAUUGAUAUACAGUUAUAUCAACACGGAAAAUGUUUUAUAUUAGUGAGAUGUCCAAAAUUCCUCUCCAAAACUCGACCAUCAAUCUGCACUAACCUAAAACCUGCAGUUUAGAUCGAGCCUCUGCAUUACUAAGACUUCAUAGCUACAUCAUAGAUAAGAGACGUUGAAUAGAGAGCGACAUCCAUUAGAUACCUGGGCAUUUAUUAAAUAGUUUACGGUAUGUAUACUGUAUAAAUUUUGCAACAGUGAGGGAAAAUAUUUAUAUUGCCGCUAAUAGUGUAGUCUACUAAUAGUGAGUCAAAUGGCUCUACAAUUAUUGGGUACUAUACGUAGAUAUAUAUACUGCGAAGUAUUAAUGUCGAAAUGUAAUGGCUUUCUUUGAAAAGCCGGACUCUAUAGAAUUCCUUUUAGAAUAUUCAAAACCAUUCAAAUAUUCGAAAAGUACCGGUCCAAAAACAUCUAAAAAAGAAAAUAAAGUGGAGAUACUAACACUAACUUUCACAUUAUAUCGAAAUUAUUGUAUAAUAAAAAUUAAUAACCAUGACGGCAUGAGCAUAACGCACGCAUAAACGCCAUAUAUAGA
rnacentral:lncRNA from 1 species